rnacentral:rRNA from 1 species
CAGACAGCUUAGUAACACGUGGCUAACCUGCCCUUGGGAUGGGAACAACCCCGGGAAACUGGGGCUAAUUCCCGAUAGGUGAAGAACUCUGGAAUGAGUCUUUGCCCAAAAGGUGUCGGAUCAUGCUUUCGGCAUCGCCUAGGAUGGGGCCGCGACCGAUCAGGUUGUUGGUGAGGUAAUGGCCCACCAAGCCUAUAACCGGUACGGGCCGUGGGAGCGGGAGCCCGGAGAUGGGAACUGAGACAAGGUCCCAGGCCCUACGGGGCGCAGCAGUUGCGAAAACUCCGCAAUGCACGAAAGUGUGACGGGGCUACCCCGAGUGCUGUCCGCUGAGGAUGGCUUUUCCCCGGUGUAAGGAGCCGGGGGAAUAAGGAGAGGGCAAGUCUGGUGUCAGCCGCCGCGGUAAUACCAGCUCUCCGAGUGGUAGGGAUGCUUAUUGGGCUUAAAGCGUCCGUAGCUGGCCCUUCAAGUCUCUCGUUAAAUCCAGCGAUUCAAUCGUUGGACUGCGGGAGAUACUGUUAGGCUUGGGGGCGGGAGAAGCCGACGGUAUUUCCGGUGUAGGGGUAAAAUCCUAUAAUCCCGGGAGGACCACCAGUGGCGUAGGCGGUCGGCUAGCACGCGCCCGACGGUGAGGGACGAAAGCUGGGGGAGCAAACC